rnacentral:lncRNA from 13 species
AUGCUCCACGAGAAAAAUACUGCUUGCCAUUGUGAUUUUAAAAGCCAGGCCACUGCGCUCCUCUUCGCCAUGACACCGGGACCAUGUGCGCACCUUGGGCCCGCUUUGUUCACUGCUGCGUCCCAAUGGGGAGGCUGGAGAGGCCUGCCGGGCUAUGGCCCCAGGCCGCUGCACUCUUCGGUCUCAUGCAGGCUCGGACUGUACAUCGCCCCCUCCCUGAUGCUUUUCUCUGGCAUGACUGCAGCUUUUAACCACCCAGGCCCACCCCCAGGACUGAGCUGCUGUUUCCGUGGUCCCAGGUCCUGGCUGGCUUGGAGCGAAAGACCGAGGGAAAGUGCUCGUCUGCUCCGCCCCCUGCGUGAGCUGAACGGCUGCCUCCGCGCCUGGAUCCUCCGGGCUGAGAAUAGUAGUCCCAUUGUCACCCAUUUUCUCUGCUUGUCUUCAGUGAUAUGACUGUCUUCAGGCACUCACACUGCUUCCUGUGGAUUAAGGCGGAUGCAGAUAUCCUGCAAGGGAACUGAACAUGAUGAGGAAGUUGGUUGUUCACUUCCAUCUAACUUUUUACAUUGUAGAAACAGUGAGUUGGUGGGAAAUCUUCUGCACUCUUGGUGCUGGGCAGAAUGAGGGCACAAACAUCAUAGAUGUGGAAGUCCAAUUCUCUUACCAUCUGCUCAGAGAUUUUCCACUGCUCUGUGACCCCAGAAACUAUUCUUUUUUCAUAUUUGAAUUCUGGGCUAUUUCUGGUGAUAAAUUUAAUGCUGUAUAUUUGGUUUUGGUUUUCUUUGUAGGAGAGAAGACAGUUUUCUUCUAUGCUGCCAUUUUGGAACACUGAACUUAUUAAUAUUCUUCCAUUUGAGUUCAGUAGUUAAAAUGUCUGGAAUCUCUUGCUAUUUUAUAUGCAAAGUACAUUUAUGUACUUUGCUAUAGUCAGUUUUUCUAUAGUCAGUCAAUUUUGCUGUAGCACAAAAUACGUGUUCUUAUGCAAAACGGCACUGAAAAUACUAAAGGGCUUAUGGAAAAAUGUUAAAAACUUAGUAACACACAUUUUUUAAAAUUCAGAAUCCUAAUUAAGAGUCUUCAGUUUUACAUAUGACCAUUUUAAAAUAAAUGCAUAAUACAUAGAAAAAGAUCUGAAGUU